ensembl:lncRNA THSD4-AS1 THSD4 antisense RNA 1
GAUUCUAGUUGAAAGAAAGAAAAAAGGAAGGAAGAAAGGAGGAAGAGGCAGGCACAAGACAAAAUGAAUCUCUCCGCUGUGCACAUGGAGCCUUAGCUCUGAUUCCAGUUGAGCAAAAUUAUGAAGAAGAUGAUUCCCCAUAUGGAUGACAGAUAAACACCCUGUGGCGAGUCACUCACUCCCGAAAGGCCCUCUGAAGGAUCGCGCAUGUCCUGACUGCACAGCCUGCUCCUCCACGGUCCUUUCAAAGUCACUGCCUUUGGAUGUAAGUUUCUCAGAGAGAAUGAGCCUUGUGUCCAAUGCCUGGAAAGCAACAGCAUUUGGCCACCAAGUUCCUCUUCAUCCUCAUCAAGCAGCUUUUCCUGUUUUGUUUUUAGCUCCAACCUUAGGACAAUGGACAAGUCAAUCAGUCCAGAUUACCCUGCACCAGGGAAGAGAGGCACCUGACAGCUAUACCCUUCACCAAGUCCACGGGGACAAAGGCACAAGAGUAAUAGAAGCUGCAGGGAGAAUGCAAUUCUCAUCAACCCUUGGGGUUGCCGCAUUGUUUUUGCUCUGUUUUCCAGAAAGUCUUUAACGGAGGAGAAAGGGUGUGGAGGAAGGGAGGGCCUUGCCUAUUAGCAGAUAUUUCAAUGCAGUCAUCACCCUCCCGCCAUUCAAUGUCAGGGAUCAGCCCUUGCAAAGGAGCAGUCAUUGGACAAUGGGCACAAUCAGGGCUCUGGGUUUUUCUGUCCUGCUGCACAUUCGACCCGCCUUCCUCUGCUGAAAAGGCUGCUUUUCCACUAGGCAUGCCCUAUGUAUGGAAAAAACUUCUACCUCUGGUUUGCUUUCGUUUGUACCCACCCACUGCAAACUAAAAUUGCAUGAAGCAGAGGCUAAGAUGGUUUUCCUAGUACAACGAAUAUCUGCCAACUCUAAAUAGAAAGACUUAGAUCAAUGAUGACUAGUUAAUUAAGCAAACUUGAGAAAGGGGACUAUUCAUUUAUUCCUUACCUUUCACUGAGCAGUUUAGAGGCUUUCAUUGGAAAUAUCAUUAAUCACCUGAAAUGCCUUGCAAUAAUAACUGGUAUCCCCAUUUUACAGUUUAUCAUGUACUAGGCUCUGCGGUAGGUUCUGGGAAUACAGACUUGAACCAGACAUGCUUUCAGGCCAUCUGCAGGACAAAGCAAAUGUUACAGAAGUUAAGUGACUUGCUCAAGGCCCCUUGAAGUCCAGCUUGGAAGACUAAGAACUCAACAUCCCUGUGGAUCCUGCCAGCCCUGCCAGCUUUCCCAGAGACGCCCAGCUGUUGAGCUUAAUCUCAGAGUCACUGGAACAACCACUUCAAGGACAAUGCUCUCAAAGCCACGGUUGUAAUAGAAAUUGGAAAAUCAAAGCAGAUCCAUGUGGCCUCAGCAUAACGAAAACAAGGAAUAAAUGGAUGUUACUACUACUAGUACUGCUUCUGCUGCCAAGUUUUUGAGCACAUAACCAGGAUGACAACCACAGUUCCACAAAGCUCUGAUAAAACAUCAAAAAGAAACUCACCACCAAGGAAACCAGAGAAUCCUUUCUUGUCUUGAGUGAAUGGCAAUGAUCUUGGUGGCCAAGAUAA